rnacentral:rRNA from 1 species
UUAAAUGGCUGCAGUAAUUUGACUGUACAAAGGUAGCAUAAUCAUUAGUUUUUUAAUUAAAAGCUUGAAUGAAAGGUUGGACGAGGUAAAAUCUGUCUCUUUUAAAUAAAAUUAGAAUUUAAUUUUUAAGUUAAAAAGCUUAAAUUUUUAUAAAAGACGAGAAGACCCUAUAGAGUUUUAUAAUUUUUUAGAAAUAAUUAAUUUAGUUUUAUUACUUUUAUUUUUAAAAGAUUAUUUUAUUGGGGUAAUAAUAAGAUUAAAAUAAUUCUUUUUUUUUUACCAUUUAUUUAUGAAAUAUAUGAUCCAUUAUUUUUAUGAUUAUAAGAUUAAAUUACCUUAGGGAUAACAGCGUAAUUUUUUUGGAGAGUUCUUAUUUAUAAAAAAGUUUGCGACCUCGAUGUUGGAUUAAAGAUUAAUUUAGGUGUAGAAGUUUAAAUUUUUGGUCUGUUCGACCAUUAAAUCUUUACAUGAUCUGAG